rnacentral:tRNA from 1 species
UAAGAGAAGGGGACUAACUUUAAGCCGCUAACUUAAAAGUUAAUAGGUUAAACUCCUAU